UACGUAGGUGGCAAGCGUUAUCCGGAUUUAUUGGGCGUAAAGGGAACGCAGGCGGUCUUUUAAGUCUGAUGUGAAAGCUUUCGGCUUAACCGGAGUAGUGCGUUGGAAACUGGGAGACUUGAGUGCAGAAGAGGAGAGUGGAACUCCAUGUGUAGCGGUGAAAUGCGUAGAUAUAUGGAAGAACACCAGUGGCGAAAGCGGCUCUCUGGUCUGUAACUGACGCUGAGGUUCGAAAGCGUGGGUAGCAAACAGG
rnacentral:rRNA from 1 species